GGGCCCGUAGCUCAGCCAGCUAGAGCACCGGUAGAGCGGCGUUAGUGCUCUGGUGAGGCUUUUAGCCUUCGGAGAGGACACCCGGCUGUCCCGGGUUCAAUUCCCGGCGGGCCCGCCA
rnacentral:tRNA from 1 species